CGGGAGCAGCACUACGUCUCUGGGCGUUACCUUCAGUCCCGCAAAGCAGCCCCCCUACAGUGCCGAGUGCAGCUUCGGCCGGGACUAGCCCAGCGGGCGGACCCGUCCCGGCCUUGGCCGCUAGGGUCGGUGCCGGUGCCGGUGCCGGACCACGUUGCAAGCCCGUCGAUUUGGAGGCGCGUUGGGAACAGGGCGCCCCUGAACCUGCCCCCCUGGGCGUUUGACGUCACCGUUGUCCAGUCCCUGCAUUUGCCCAGCGCCGGGGUUCAGCGGGGCCCCUCCCCCGCAGCUGAGCUCUGGACACCCGUCAAGGCUGAGGAGCCGCCCCGGCGCUGCCGGGCCCCCCGCAGUCGGAAGCGAGCGGGACGGGCAGGGGCGGAGGAAAAGUCGGGAACGGGGCUGCGGGGCUCCCCCUGCCGGCGGAGCGCGGGAAAGCAGAGCCCGGGGGAGGUGGGGGGGCGUGAGAGCGGGCGCGGAGCCCUUCCCUCCACCCACUCCACACGCUCCGCUGCAGCCGCAGCCAGCAGCCAGCACCUGGCCUCCGCUGGGGACAGGCGACGCACCUGCGGCGGCAGCAGCAAUCUGGGCACUUCACUCCCCGCUUCGCGAGCGGCCGGUGCAAGCCCCGGGAGCCCCUCUGCAGCGCCUGCGGACCCGGCACCUGCCCCCUUCUUCUUCUUCUCUGUCCGAUCGGCCGGUGACAGCCCCCGGCUGCACCUUUUCCUGAAGUCUGGGAGCCCCCACUCCACCCCCGCUCUUCCCUAUGGGGAUCCGAGAGUUUCCCAACGGCACGGCGAGGGGCAAGACCAUCACAAUUGGCAUGAGGAGAUCUCCAGAUGUCAGUCCCAGGAGGCUGUCAGACAUCAGCCCGCAGCUCCGGCAGCUCAAAUAUCUGGUGGUGGAUGAGGCGAUCAAAGAGGAUUUGAAAUGGUCCCGAUCCGUGGAGGAUCUCACCAGUGCUUCCGUGGGGCUCACUUCCAUCGAGGAAAGGAUUCUGCGGAUUACCGGGUAUUAUGGCUAUCAGCCCUGGGCUGCCAGCUACAAAAGUAAGUCUCUUGUUUAUGCCUUCUCUUCUCACCAGCGGUAGCAACACUCCUCCCCUCCCCCCUCAAUUUUGUCGUCUGCUGCUGCUGCAGCUUCUCAAGCUGCCUGCAGGGUGUGGGGCAGGGCUUGCAUUGCACUCAGAAUUUAACCCCGUCUCCCCUUUUCUGUGGCAACCCCUCACAUUGCUACUUCAAUGUCCCAGCAGUUUGGAGUGAUGGAAAUUAACUGCCUAAUUUUAUUUACUAUCCUCUUUUUUCCUAAACUGGAUCAUAUCAGCUUUGUCAGUUUUGUAGUUUCCUCUAAAAUAUUCCCUUUCCCUCAGUUGGAAGGUUUAAUUAUAUUUACUUUCUGAACCCCUGCUUUGCCUGUUGACAUUUGUGUCUGAUGAGAUUGAUAGCUACUUCAAUGCUAAACAGUGGAAAAAGUUGCUCACAAUCUGGGUCUGUGUUUGAUGUUGCACUAGGUGGUGGCAUUAUGAUCAAUUCAAUACAUAUUAGUGUGAGAUUUAAUCAUUUAAACUUUCUCCUUAUUAGGAAAAAUGCUGGUGAUUAUAGAACACAUGUUAGCUUUUGUAAUGGGGGGGAAAGGGAUUUCAGUUUAGUGCUGGAACUCAAGACAAAUGUGACCUGUACAAAAGGUUACUGUGACAUAACAUUGUUAAGUAAAUCAUUACAUUACAUGUAGGUUAAAGUUUGUAUCUUUUAUACUGAAAAUGAUAAUUUUUCACUUUUUUAGAAUGUCUAAGUUGAAAGAUUUAAAGAAAUGCUUUCAUUCUCUGCUAAAGGAUUUAGCACAUGAUAUUCAUUUUUUGUGUAAAAUCAGGCUCUGAGUGAUUUGAUGUUAAUCAUAUUAAAUUCAGUAUUAAAAACAUUGCGCUCUGUAUUGCUGAUGCCAUAAGUGAAGUAUAAUGAUCAGCUUAUUUGUGACAAUUGCUUCGGUGCUUUUUAAACCUGUAUUAGUUUUUGAAAGUAAUACAUUAUUCCAUAUCCUCUCCCUAAUAUCUUGAAGAAUCAUUGUAUUUUCACAGGAAUUAAACUUUUCCCUGAAUUAAAAUAUCUUUACCCUUUCCAACACAGCCUCCUGUUUGCAUGUUCAUAAACUUUGGUGAGAAACUUAUUCUAGUGUAUAGGGGUGUAAAGCUUGUGAUGAUAUCUUGAAAAGCUUUAAUAAACAUGUUGGAAAUAUUCA
ensembl:lncRNA